AAUUAGGCGGCGACACCUGCGCGGAGACGGAACCGAAGUUCCAGUCGCAGUCUCAGUUCCAGUCGCAGUUCCAGUCGCAGUCGGAGUCGCAGUUGCCGUCUCAAUUGCAGACGUCGCCAUCAAUCAGCAAAUCAGCGAACGAGGCAAACAAGGUGGCAAGUGAGGCGUGAAAACGGCGAACAAAACUGCAGAAAAACAUAAAAAAGAAGCCAGGCAGAGGUGAUUUUUCAGUUAAAGCCAUUAAAUACCCUGUAAGUUCUAUAGGAUCCUCGAGACAGAGACGGCAUCAUGUGGGAAAGGGAGGGUGAUAGACGGGAUGGAGGAACGAAAUCAUCACUCAUCACUGCUUGCACUGAUUCCGCAGCUGCUCCUGCUGCUGCUGCUGUUGCAUCCGACAAAAUCCCCCAAUGAAUAGCAACUUGCAAACUGCAUUUGAAUUGCAAACCCUGGUGCCCCUCCCCCAUUCGCCACCCCCUGCUGUCGAGCGGCAACUACCCACAUUAGUUUAGCAUAUGUUUUACAUAACUGAGAGUAGGAACCGGAGGCUGGGACCACGACUGUUCCCCAAAGCUGAACUGAUUCCUCGGCUUAUGCUCCACUUCUGGCUGUCUGAACUUUCGGUUUUUCUUUUUUCUACUCUAUUUUUCAUUCUUUCUAUGCCUUGGAUUCUACACAGGUAACUAUUGUUUCAAUCUGUUGUAAUUAAUAAUUGUUAUAUAAGAUAUAUGUUUUCAAGUGAACACAACAAAAGAUAAAGUUUAAAAGAUUAAGUUUACUUGAAC